UCUCUGUUUUACAGCGUAUUGUAAUCUUGCGUAGUCAUGCUCACCGGGAUACGGCGCACAAGUGACUUCGAACAGUCCGCCAAAGAGGGUGACAGCCCCGUACUGUGCCUUAUCCUAACGAGCAGGCUUACAAAGAGUCGGGUUGUUUGGUAUUGCAGCCCUAAGCGGGAGAUAAACUUCUUCUAAGGCUAAAUAUAUGUGGGAAACCGAUAGCGAACAAGUACUGUGAAGGAAAGAUGAAAAGCACUUUGGAAAGAGAGUCAAAAGACCUGAAACCGUUGAGAAGGAAGCGGUAGAGAUGAAUUCUACAGCGGGGCGCUGGGAAAUCGGCCUAGCCACUUUGGGGUUGUCGUUCGUCAAAGGCGGCGCUCUAAAUUAGGGGAAGCCGGUCUCUUGUGCAUCGUUGUGAGGCCGGAUGGGGUUGAGUCCUCUCAAAAAGCUUUUAAGCCUGGGCCCCCUCGGGGGUCAGCUUGGGAGUGGUAAGAGGGCGCAGCCUGAGGUUGCCUUGUGCGAUCCGGUCAAAAUGGUCUUUACCGACUCGUCUUGAAACACGAACCAAGGAGUCUA
rnacentral:rRNA from 1 species